rnacentral:rRNA from 1 species
GGUUUACCUGUGUGACUGCGUACCUUUUGUAUAAUGGGUCAGCGACUUAUAUUCUGUAGCAAGGUUAACCGUAUAGGGGAGCCGUAGGGAAACCGAGUCUUAACCGGGCGUUAAGUUGCAGGGUAUAGACCCGAAACCCGGUGAUCUAGCCAUGGGCAGGUUGAAGGUUGGGUAACACUAACUGGAGGACCGAACCGACUAAUGUUGAAAAAUUAGCGGAUGACCUGUGGCUGGGGGUGAAAGGCCAAUCAAACCGGGAGAUAGCUGGUUCUCCCCGAAAGCUAUUUAGGUAGCGCCUCGUGAAUUCAUCUCCGGGGGUAGAGCACUGUUUCGGCUAGGGGGCCAUCCCGGCUUACCAACCCGAUGCAAACUGCGAAUACCGGAGAAUGUUAUCACGGGAGACACACGGCGGGUGCUAACGUCCGUCGUGAAGAGGGAAACAACCCAGACCGCCAGCUAAGGUCCCAAAGUCAUGGUUAAGUGGGAAACGAUGUGGGAAGGCCCAGACAGCCAGGAUGUUGGCUUAGAAGCAGCCAUCAUUUAAAGAAAGCGUAAUAGCUCACUGGUCGAGUCGGCCUGCGCGGAAGAUGUAACGGGGCUAAACCAUGCACCGAAGCUGCGGCAGCGAACGUAUCACCCAAGACAACUUUACGGAGUUGACGAUUGACGGAGCGAAGCGACGUCAAAGCGUUCAUUAAAGUCGAGUUGGCUUAGGGAUACGUUCGUUGGGUAGGGGAGCGUUCUGUAAGCCUGUGAAGGUGUGUCGUGAGGCAUGCUGGAGGUAUCAGAAGUGCGAAUGCUGACAUAAGUAACGAUAAAGCGGGUGAAAAGCCCGCUCGCCGGAAGACCAAGGGUUCCUGUCCAACGUUAAUCGGGGCAGGGUGAGUCGACCCCUAAGGCGAGGCCGAAAGGCGUAGUCGAUGGGAAACGGGUUAAUAUUCCCGUACUUGGUGUUACUGCGAAGGGGGGACGGAGAAGGCUAUGUUGGCCGGGCGACGGUUGUCCCGGUUUAAGCGUGUAGGUGUGUGUUCCAGGUAAAUCCGGUU